rnacentral:rRNA from 1 species
GGAUACCCGAGGGAAACUUCGGUUAAUACGGUAUAAGACCACACUACCGCAUGGUAGAGGGGUAAAAGGGGCAACCUGGUAUGAGAUGGACUCGCGUCGCAUUAGCUAGUUGGUGAGGUAACGGCCCACCAAGGCGACGAUGCGUAGCCGACCUGAGAGGGUGAUCGGCCACAUUGGGACUGAGAUACGGCCCAGACUCCUACGGGAGGCAGCAGUGGGGAAUAUUGGGCAAUGGAGGAAACUCUGACCCAGCAAUGCCGCGUGAAUGAAGAAGGUCUUCGGAUUGUAAAGUUCUUUAGUCAGGGAAGAAGUCAAUGACGGUACCUGAAGAAUAAGCUCCGGCUAACUACGUGCCAGCAGCCGCGGUAAUACGUAGGGAGCAAGCGUUGUUCGGAAUGACUGGGCGUAAAGGGUGCGUAGGCGGUUGUACAAGUUAGAAGUGAAAACCCAGGGCUUAACUCGGGUGCUGCUUCUAAAACUGUAUGACUUGAGUGCAGUAGAGGUUAGUGGAAUUCCUAGUGUAGCGGUGGAAUGCGUAGAUAUUAGGAGGAACACCAGAGGCGAAGGCGGCUAACUGGACUGCAACUGACGCUGAGGCACGAAAGUGUGGGGAGCAAACAGGAUUAGAUACCCUGGUAGUCCACACUGUAAACGAUGGAUACUAGAUGUAGGAGGUAUCGACUCCUUCUGCGUCG